CCCAGCACUAGGAAUAUUACCUUGGAACAUACACACGAAGGAGGGUCAUUGAUUCCUAUAGUCUAUUUGGUCGUUCGUUUUCUUUAGUGUCUCGUCCGGAAGGAAAAGAGAGAACAAAAACUGUGCAGUAGCAAAUGAAAGCAGACAGCAGUUAACGAAGAGGUACUAUCCAAUGUCGGCCACCCACAUCUGCUGUUACUUCACAGCUGAUCUAAAUUUAUCUACUCCUUUUGCUUUCCCCCUUUUGGAACCAAAAAGGUUGGCGGCAGGCAUGCAAUCAGGGCUCGAAAAGUUUUGGGUAAUCCAGUUUCUAUGUGUGUGUGUGUGUGUGGGGCGGUGUCUCUAGAGUUUCACCCUCCUUUUUCUUUGGAAAAGCCACAAGGAACGAAUAGAAGGAAUUCCUAAGUUGAAAAGAAAGAAGAUCGUGACUCCCGUGGCCCGCGACCUUUGACACUAUCCGGUUUGACUUAAUAGACCGCGAGCAAUAAAAGUUUGGAAACGAAAAGAAGAAGAAACGAGUAGUCAAAUUGGGAAUAAGAAGCCCAAAAGACUUUUGACAAGGAAUGCUAAUCGCUCUAUUUUUGGCUUCACCUCAUAUCGUUUUCUACUUGUUUCUUUCGUCUUGUUUUUUUUAGCAACUUAAUCUGACGAACACGAUCCUUUUUUAUGAAUAACGAAACCCUUUUAAAUCAAAUGAAUUGAUCAAAACUCACCUGGAGUCACGAUGAAAGCCAACAGGGACAAGACGGCAAUUAAUCCAGCCAUGUCGACGAUGCUACGAUCCAAAUGUCACUGUGAUCAAACGAUUUGUCGUCUGCUGAUUAGUCGUCUGCUUUGACCAAAAUUUGCAACCAAAUUAAAAAAACAAAACAAAACAAAGUGUUUCUUGUGUUUUGAAAAACAAAACAAAAACCACCAAAU